GUCCUUUCGUACUAAUAUGGAUUAACAAUCUUAGGAUAGAAACCGACCUGGCUCACGCCGGUCUGAACUCAGAUCAUGUAAGAAUUUAAAGGUUGAACAGACCUAAUCAUUGGGCUCCUGCACCCAAAAUUUUUCUUAAUCCAACAUCGAGGUCGCAAUCUGCUUUGUCGAUAUGAGCUCUCAAAAACAAUUACGCUGUUAUCCCUAAGGUAACUUAAUCUUAUGAUCAUAAAUUAUGGAUCAAAAUAACAAACAUAAAUAAAUGAUAUAAUAAUGAAGAGUUUAUCUAUUCUUCAUGUCACCCCAACAAAACAUCAUCAUUAAAUAUAGAAAGACAAACAAAAAACUAUAUAAAAGUAAAA